UACCGUGAAACUGCGAAUGGCUCAUUAAAUCAGUUAUCGUUUAUUUGAUAGUACCUUACUACUUGGAUAACCGUGGUAAUUCUAGAGCUAAUACAUGCUAAAAACCCCGACUUCGGAAGGGGUGUAUUUAUUAGAUAAAAAACCAACGCCCUUCGGGGCUUCUUGGUGAUUCAUGAUAACUUUACGGAUCGCAUGGCCUUGCGCCGGCGACGGUUCAUUCAAAUUUCUGCCCUAUCAACUUUCGAUGGUAAGGUAUUGGCUUACCAUGGUUUCAACGGGUAACGGGGAAUUAGGGUUCGAUUCCGGAGAGGGAGCCUGAGAAACGGCUACCACAUCCAAGGAAGGCAGCAGGCGCGCAAAUUACCCAAUCCCGACACGGGGAGGUAGUGACAAUAAAUACUGAUACAGGGCUCUUUUGGGUCUUGUAAUUGGAAUGAGUACAAUUUAAACCUCUUAACGAGGAACAAUUGGAGGGCAAGUCUGGUGCCAGCAGCCGCGGUAAUUCCAGCUCCAAUAGCGUAUAUUAAAGUUGUUGCAGUUAAAAAGCUCGUAGUUGAACCUUGGGCCUGGCUGGUAGGUCCGCCUCACCGCGUGUACUUGUCCGGCCGGGCCUUCCUUCUGGAGAACCUCAUGCCCUUCACUGGGCGUGUUGGGGACCAGGACUUUUACUUUGAAAAAAUUAGAGUGUUCAAAGCAGGCCUUUGCUCGAAUACGUUAGCAUGGAAUAAUAGAAUAGGACGUGCGGUCCUAUUUUGUUGGUUUCUAGGACCGCCGUAAUGAUUAAUAGGGACAGUCGGGGGCAUCAGUAUUCAAUUGUCAGAGGUGAAAUUCUUGGAUUUAUUGAAGACUAACUACUGCGAAAGCAUUUGCCAAGGAUGUUUUCAUUAAUCAGUGAACGAAAGUUAGGGGAUCGAAGACGAUCAGAUACCGUCGUAGUCUUAACCGUAAACUAUGCCGACUAGGGAUCGGGCGAUGUUCUUUUUCUGACUCGCUCGGCACCUUACGAGAAAUCAAAG
rnacentral:rRNA from 1 species